rnacentral:rRNA from 1 species
CCUACGGGGGGCAGCAGUGGGGAAUAUUGCAUAAUGGGCGAAAGCCUGAUGCAGCGACGCCGCGUGAGCGAUGAAGGCCUUCGGGUCGUAAAGCUCUGUCCUAAGGGAAGAAAAUUGACGGUACCUUAGGAGGAAGCCCCGGCUAACUACGUGCCAGCAGCCGCGGUAAUACGUAGGGGGCGAGGGUUAUCCGGAAUUACUGGGCUUCAAGGGUGCGUAGACGGCUUUCUAAGUCCGGUGUGAAAGGCUUCGGUUCAACCGAAGUGAGGACUUGAAACUGUAAGGCUUGAGUGCAGGAGAGGAGAGCUGAAUUCCUAGUGUAGCGGUGAAAUGCGUAGCUAUUAGGAGGAACACCAGUGGCGAAGGCCGCUCUCUGGACUGUAACUGACGCUGAGGCACGAAAGCGUGGGGAGCAAACAGGAUUAGAUACCCGAGUAGUC